GACGAACGCUGGCGGCGUGCUUAACACAUGCAAGUCGAGCGGUAAGGCCCUUUCGGGGGUACGACGAGCGGCGAACGGGUAGGAGUAACACGUGGGUGACCUCGCCCUCCAGCUCUGGGAGUAAGCCUCGGGAAACCGGGGUACUAAUACCGGAUAUGACUCCAUGACGCAUGUUGUGGGGUGGAAAGCCUUGUGCGGCUGAGGAUGGGCCCGCGGCCUAUCAGCUUGUUGGUGGGGUGANGGCCUACCAAGGCGACGACGGGUAGCCGGCCUGAGAGGGCGACCGGCC
rnacentral:rRNA from 1 species